GUUUAUUGCUAACCACGAGUGUCUUAUAGCCUGUUUUUAACCCUUAACAUGCUCUUGAAUCGUAUAUGCCUGUUUUAACCUCACCAAGUUGACUAUUCAAUUUACCUAAAUCCUCGCUUAACCUAUAAUAUAAAAAUGUACUAGUACUAACUAAUCCUGCUCUAUUCAAACCAUUAAGCGAGAACAGUUCUGUUGUAUACAAAUUUAGCAUAGCAUGUUUAUUGCUAACCACGAAUGUCUUAUAGCCUGUUUUUUUCAUGAGAAAAAAAAAAAAUGUGCCGUUUAACCUGCCACACUUUGGAAUUCUAUGAAUCUGCUUGCAGCGGCUGUUGUGGCUCUGCAUGCUUGUUGUUACUUCAUGC